GGAUAUAGCUCAGUGGUAGAGCACAUGCUUAGCAAGCACAGGGUCCUGAGUUCAAUCCCUGGUACCUCCA
rnacentral:tRNA from 1 species